AUGCAGUUUUUGCCACUCGGAGCAGGGCGGAGGGGAGAGGGGCCGUUUGCGAGCCACCCCCCUCCGCGCUCCCCGGCAGCACGGAACUCAUUUUGCAAGUUUUCCCCAGCAAAUCCAGCCCAAGUUGGCUCAAGGAUGCUUCCCACCUGCCGAAGCCCCUCCUGCGGGCUCUGGGCUGCGCCCCCCGCCCCAGCUGCCUGCAGCAAACGGUGCAAGCGCUGCGAGAGCAGCGACUGCAGCCAGCCCCUGAGCGCACCACCUGCACCCUGGGAUGCAGCAUCCCGGCCCUGGGACAUCCAGAUUCAGUUCCGAAUGUCACGGGAUGCAGUGGGAUGCGGUGGGAUGCGGUGGGAUGCUGUGGGAUGUGGUGGGAUGCAGUGGGAUGCAGUGGGAUGCAGUGGGAUGCUGUGGGAUGUGGUGGGAUGCAGUGGGAUGCAGUGGGAUGUGGUGGGAUGCAGUGGGAUGCUGUGGGAUGUGGUGGGAUGCAGUGGGAUGCUGUGGGAUGCAGUGGGAUGUGGUGGGAUGCUGUGGGAUGCUGUGGGAUGCUGUGGGAUGCAGUGGGAUGCAGUGGGAUGCUGUGGGAUGCAGUGGGAUGCAGUGGGAUGUGGUGGGAUGCUGUGGGAUGCAGUGGGAUGCUGUGGGAUGCUGUGGGAUGCAGUGGGAUGCUGUGGGAUGUGGCAGAACAGAGCUGAGUGUCAUGGGAUGCUGUGGGAUGCUGCAGGAAUGUCACGGGAUGCUGUGGGAUGCGGCAGGAUGCUGCUGAGUGUCACGGGAUGCCGUGGGAUGUGGCAGGGUGGCGCAGGAUACUCGUGGGAUGCUGUGGGAUGCCGUGGGGUGCUGUGGGAUGUCACGGGGUGCUGUGGGAUGCUGUGGGAUGUCACGGGGUGCUGUGGGAUGCUGUGGGAUCGUGCUCCAGGGCAUGGGGACGCGUGGCCCAGUUUGGGGCUGGAAGCAGGGGCUGGCUGCACUCCGGACCCCUCCAAGGCUGCCCGGAGCAGCGUCACCCUGCUGCCCUGA
rnacentral:lncRNA from 1 species